CAGUCGCCGCGGUAAUACGUAGGUCCCGAGCGUUGUCCGGAUUUAUUGGGCGUAAAGCGAGCGCAGGCGGUUAGAUAAGUCUGAAGUUAAAGGCUGUGGCUUAACCAUAGUAUGCUUUGGAAACUGUUUAACUUGAGUGCAGAAGGGGAGAGUGGAAUUCCAUGUGUAGCGGUGAAAUGCGUAGAUAUAUGGAGGAACACCGGUGGCGAAAGCGGCUCUCUGGUCUGCAACUGACGCUGAGGCUCGAAAGCGUGGGGAGCAAACAGGAUUAGAUACCCCGGUAGUCCCUGUCUCUUAUACC
rnacentral:rRNA from 1 species